ensembl:lncRNA
AAUUCAGUGCGGCAUGGUUUGACACGGCGUGGGCCAAAAGUGUCAAUGGAGGAGGGGAGCAGAACAGCCCAGUCACUUUCAGCGCUCACAGCUCACAGCAUUCAACCAGAAGGACGCGUUGAGGUGACGAUCACUACCCAAUCACAGCACAUUACGCCCUAAUGUGCUGUCAUUGGGUAGUUAUCUACGGGUCUCUACGACUACAGGAGCAGGCAGCCUGUCCACGCGCAAUGCUCGCACUCACGCAAACACACACUUGCGUGACUUUAUGGUAACGUGUGGGUUAACAUAACUAUCAAAAAAUUAACAUGGACAAUGCACUAUGGAGCACAGUUAAUGGUGAGCAGUUUGGUGAUGUUGAAGCUCAUUGCAAAAUGUGUUUGAAAUGUUUGUUUGAAAUUUGGUACAAUAGAUUUAGCUACUUGACCAAAUGUGUAAUUGCAUGUUGAAUCAUUUGGAUACACUUUUGUAAUGUAAGAUCUUCCAUAGGGUUAGCCUAGCAGGUUUCACAUAUUUAUGAUUUAUUUUCAAAGCAAAUGUAUUUUGUCAUAUUGAUAUAAUUACAAUUUACAAUAUUCUGGAUAAAGUACUUCAUUACAACAUUUUCAAAGUUAAGGGCUCUGAUAUCAGUAUCUACUAUGAUAAGCUUGUAUUACCUGAUUUAAAACAGAAGUGGGAAAAGCGAAUUAUGUCAAUGUUUUGAAUGAUAAGCAAAUGAGGGGUAGAAACCCCCACCUGGACACUCAUUGGCCACUUCUUGCUCCUUUUAUAUUGACAUUUUUGUCAUUUAAAAAAUGCUUUUAUCCUGAUUUACAAAAAGGAAAUGAAAGAAGGAAGAAACAAUGUUUAAUCUUUACUCUCUUUAAUCUUUAAAUAAAAAUCACAAUAUGUCCUUCAUUCACCAUAGACAUCCUGGUGAGUGUGUGUGGUUGAUCUCACCAGCCUCAUGUAAAGCAGCCUCCCUCCUCUUACUGAUUGGAUACUGGGAUGUGGGUGAGGCUGCAUGCCUGUGGUGCAAUGAAGCCACACAGGUUGAACCAGCCGUCACUAGUGUUGGCCAUCGUUUGGAUUUUAACAAUUCUGAUUCAGAUUCAGAUUAUGCUUAUCGAUUUAGAUUCUGGAAUUUCUGAUUCUUUGAGGGCGGGGAAAAAAACGGACAGGCUGCCGUGGGUCGUAACCACGGUGAUAGCACGCCCCCUUCAUUCCUAAAAUUCUCAGCCCGAAAUGGGCUCAAUGGCACCUUCACUCUUUGGGUGCCUAAAUGUCGGGUAUUAACCUCUGCGAUCACCACGUAACCAUCAUGUGCAUCUUCCCACAAACAAAAUAAGUUUGCACAGGUUUUGCAUCGUGCUGACACGUCAUUGUUAUUUACAUAAUGGAGCCAGGCCGAUUUUGUUGCCAGGGUGAAACGCCUGCUGUGGCAGUAAGCCCGAUUCCGACCCUGCAGUAAACCGGUUUUAUACACCACCAGCUGCUGUCAUGUUUGGGAGGAGCCCAGUGAAGACACCUAGGUGUCGGUGGUAGGGUCAACUUGCUACCAUCAUCUAGCAUACAAAUGUGCUGUGUGCUGACACAAUGUACAGACCACCUACUGGUCUUCUGUGUGUUGAGAUCACAUUUGCAGACUUAAGGGAUCAAGAAUGACCCAUGAAAGGCAUGAUGAGACGGAC